ACAGCCAUCUUCUGUUAGGUAGGACUGUAUGAAAUAUAACAUUUAGUUAUUUAGCUGGUGCUUGGUAAUGAUGAAACAUAGUUAUCCACACACACUGGCUCAAGGGGCACUGCUUGUCACUGUCGACAUCCUGCCAUCCUGCCAACUAAUACACAUGUGAAAACUAUUAAGGUAGUGUUUGAAGUGCAAUAAUUUUUAUAGCUGGAACAAAAGUACUCCUUGUGUUUCUGAGCUAAUUGUGGAAAAUAUGAACUACUUAUAGAUAUUAUUGACCAUCACUGUUUUGGUAGAGAAGCAAAAGAAGAAUCAAUUGAAGACUCACAUGCUUUUAGUUAUUAACUUUUGUGUGGUAAUGCAAAAAGAAAAAAAGUGUACCAACUGUACUCGGUCUACACUGCAAGUUUUUGCAUGAACAAUUUUUGUGUUGUUCAUCUUCCGUAACUAACAGACAGAUACAGCUACCACAGACCUGAGAGUGUGAAGGAUGUUCACAGUUUAAUAACUGCUGAGAGCAACGCAACACAUUCGUCGCCUCUACCUCUUUGAUGUCAGUUUAGUGCGUCUCAAGCUUAACGUGAGCAACAGCAUCUUCCACUAUCACAGCUCUCGACAGGAAGACGAGAAAGGAACAUGGGGGUGAAAGAUGAUCACUAUUUCCUCCAUCUAUAUACUUCACCCAGCCAGUACACUGACAGGAGUAGGCUUACAGCAUGUGCUCAAAACCCCUCUCUGUUGAGAACUGGAUAUAACCUGCCGAACAAGUCAUGGUUUUUAAAGGCAUGAACGUAUUUUUGGCCCAAUUUCUCCUAACAGCUGUGCAGUGUCAAUGGAGUGUGACGUACUCCUCUAUGAGGGCAUGUGGCCUUAAAGGGGCAUCAGUGGUCCUGCCCUGCACAUAUGACUACCCUUGGGAAAGUGGUGGAGACACAUAUCAGGGAGGAGAGUGGCAUAAAGAGCAGAGUGGGAUAGUCAGAGAACACAGAAACUCUAAUUAUCCUGACUGCAGUCUGAAAAUAGACAAGCUUUCAGAAGAUCACUUUGGUGUUUAUCACUUUCGGUUUUACACAGCUCUUCAUGUGAGUUGGAUAACAAACAAGACUGGACAAGUUGCACUUUCAAUCACA